rnacentral:rRNA from 1 species
UACGUAGGGGGCAAGCGUUAUCCGGAUUUACUGGGUGUAAAGGGAGCGUAGACGGCGAUGCAAGUCUGAAGUGAAAGGCGGGGGCCCAACCCCCGGACUGCUCUGGAAACUAUGUUACUGGAGUGCAGGAGAGGUAAGCGGAAUUCCUAGUGUAGCGGUGGAAUGCGUAGAUAUUAGGAGGAACACCAGUGGCGAAGGCGAUUUGCUGGACUGUAACUGACACUGAGGCACGAAAGCGUGGGGAGCAAACAGG